AUGAGGAAAAGGCUGUGGAUGAGGAAAAGGCUUUAAUGAAGUCCAGUCUACCUGGACUUCAUUAAAGCCUUUGAUACUGUCUCCCACAGCCUUCUCUUGGAGAAAUGGCUUUUCAUGGCUUGGAUUGGUGCGCUGUUCACUGGGCAAAAGCCUGUCUGAGUAGCCAGGCCCAGAGAGUGGUAGUGAAUGGAGUUAUAUCAAGCUGGUGACUGGUCACAAGUGGUGCUCCCCACGGCAAAUUCUAUUUAAUAUCUAUCAGCAGUCUGGAUGAGGGGAUCAAGGGUACCCUCAGAAAGUUUGCAGAUGACACCAAGUUGGUUGGGAUCAGCUGGAAGGUAGGAGGGCUCUAAAGAGGGAUCUGGACAGUCUGGAGUGAUGGCCCAAGGCCCGUGGUGUGAGGUUCAACAAGGCCAAGUGCUGGGUCCUGCACUUGGGUCACAACAACCCCAGGCAGUCCUACAGGCUGGGGAACAGUGGCUGGAAAGCUGCCCUUGGGAAAGGACCUGGGGAUGCUGAUAACAGGGACUGAACAUGAGCCAGUGUGUGCCCAGGUGGCCAAGAAGGCCAAAGGCAUCCUGGCCUGGAUCAGAUACAGUGUGGCCAGCAGGACCAGGACAGGGAUUGUCCCCUGUACUCAGCACUGGUGAGGCCACACCUCGAGAGCUGUGUCCAGUUCUGGGCCCCUCACUACAAGAAGGACAUUGAGGGGCUGGAGUGUGUCCAGGGAAGGGCAACAGAGCUGGGGAAGGGUCUGGAGCACAGCUCAGAAAGGAGUAUUGCAUUAGAGAUCACACCAUCUGGAUAAAAGGAGACAGUCAAGAGACAAAACAGGGCACAAGAGGGUAAAGCCAUCUCAGUCAGGACAACAGAGAAAACUGAUUCCAAGACCAGGCACAGUAUCCCAACAGACCCACAGACUCAAUACUGAGUGAACUGAAAAGCCGCCUUUUAACAGCUCUACUACCUCUGCAAACUAGCUGUAUUACUUUCAGAGACCAAUGGGCAAAACAAAACACAGACACUGAGUUCUGCACCCACCAGCAAGCCCAAAAGAAGAUGUUUUGGACAGAAACCUCUCCAUGCUUAUCAGCUCAACAACCAGCACCAGCCUGCAACUCUGACACCACCCAGCUACUGUGCCUUGCUCUGAGCCUGUCCCUGCUGCUCUCCUGCCAUAGCCCUUGCGACACAGCAACACUGUGAAGCACUAGAGAGUGGCUCUAAGCAGCUUGCCCUGACCCCACACACUCAGCUGUAAACAAGAGGAACAAAGCUACACAACCUCCUUGGAGGCUGACUGCCAUGCUUGGACAUAACAGAAGGAAAAAAAAAAAAACCCAAAAACCUCCAAAACCCCUCGAGAACAGUUCUACUUUAUAGUUUCCACUUAAGCAGUAAACAUGAGCUCUUACAAUGUCACUACAGGUUUGUCAAUACUUUCCAGCAGUACAUUAGGAAACGCAUCCAAAGUCUAACUUGUCAUUUGCUCACUUGCAUUCCCUUCUGGUGGAGAAAGCACACAAACUUUCAAAACAUUACUCCUUCCAUUUGCCAACAUAUCACCACCACCUGACAAGUUUUAACUGAAGCAGUAAAUUUAUAUUAAUCAAUGUC